UGCUGUCAUAAAGUUCAUCCGUUGAAUCAAAAUAAAAUGAUAAUAAUAAUUUGAGGACCUGAUGUUACGAAAACACACACAUAUAUAUACAUAUAUUUUAUCAACAAAAUAGAGUUAACACAUAUAAUGAGGUGAAGGCGUUUGGUAAAGUUAAGAAAAGGGGUGGUGAAGGCAGGAGACUUAAGGAGAGGUGCAUCAUAGAUUUAAUCUUAUGAGUUUAUUGGAAAAGAUACAAAGUUAAGAUAAACUCUGAAUAUAAUUUAAAAUUAGCAAAGGCAUAUGUCGAAAAUUAGUUACAUCUGUAAGAAGUUUCAUAUCUAAUGUGGAGUUUUUGCAUAAGCUAUGUGGAGUCCUUGUCCCCUUUUGCCUCAAUGUGGUUCCACCACUUGUUAGAACAGAUUAAAUUCCCAGCAGCAAGAAGUGGAAGGCCAGAACACAUGAAGAAGAAAACAAAGAGAAAGGAAAUGACUAUAACCAAUGUGAUAACCAUUACAGAACUUAAAGACCUACUCAAUGUCUAUGCAAAUUAAUUAGAUCUGAGACAAAGAAAUCAAGGGCUUGGUCAAGAACAAGAAAACGGAGGAGAGGACAAGAAAAAGGAAUGACAAGAAAACAGAAGAGAAGGCAAGAACAAGGAACGACGAGAUCUUCAAAAUGGACAGUAGUUGUCAAAGUCGCAGAGCACAGGAACAUUCUCAACCUAAUUUAUGCUAAAAGAGACAUCAGAAGCAACAUUAAAAGAAAAAAAAUCUUAACAUUCAUACUUCAUGGGAGCAGCACAAACUUCUAAGUGAAUCAUAAGUGACUUAUCUUGAUGGUAGUAGAAUGGAAGAGGUAAUAUAAUUCAUGGUCUCUAUGACUAUCCUACAAUCACUUUUCUGCCUAUGUCUCUUCAAUCAAGCUUCAAACAUUUCAAAAAUUGAAUAAAAUGUCAGAGAAAAAGGAUUUUUGCUGAUUAAUAUUUUAUUGUAUUUUUAUAAGCUCAGUCGUUUCUUCUCAAUGAGAAACAAGUGCAGGCAGUUGAAGUGGGUGAGCCUAUAAGUACCAACAAGUCUCUAAAUUUAAAGUUCCUGGAUUAAUAAAAUGGUGGUUCACAAGGCCUUGGUAUUCCUCACCAACUUUCAAGGUGCACUUGGUAGAUAGUGCAAUUACCAGCCUAAAUAUCAAUUUCAGGCCCUUCUUCAGUACAUUUGAACCUUAAUUGUUACAUAUGUUGCAAUACCAUUUUUGCCCGAUGUAUCCAUUUAGAUUGGGUGCAGAAUUCACCUAUGCUGGCUAAAUUAACCUAGCCUAGGGAGUUGGAUGAGCUAAGAGAGUUGCAGACCAAACCAAGAGAUAGCUUACCAAAAUCAUUCAACAUGAAAUUUGACAACUGUACUCUACUUCCUUUGAACAAUAAACCAGAUCAGUCACUUCAGGAAAUUUGUUCAAGUUUUGAAUGUAUUCACUUCAAGGCUUGAACUCAUAUGGGACUCCAUUUCAACUGUCCAAAUGCUCGAACUGAUCAAACUCAAGCCAUUUACCAUGUGCCUGACCUACUAAAUCAGAGCUAAGGUUUCCACGUGUCAAGCCACUACCAUGUUUCUAUCGAAACUUGUUGGACUGUAUUAAGUAAUACUUCCCCUAUAUUUCCAAGACGAUACUCUUUUUUUGUACCAAAUUUAGUGCAUGUGCAAUAAAAUUCCACAGAAAUCCUUACUAAAAACACCGACUGCAACAUUUUUGCCACAGUAUGAUGUUCACUUUUAUUACUGAAAUAAAUUUCAAUAAGACUCAAUAUCAACCCUAUAACAGGGGUUGAGAGGUCGAAAGGAAAAUUCUUGACAUCUGAGCAACUCUUUCAAAGUAUAUAAUCAUAACAAAAACCAUAAAGCAGAAAGAAAAGGUUCUUCUUAGUGGAAAUCAGCAUCUUAGAUUUCCUGCCAUAAUAUGAUCAAAUUUCAAUAAGACUCAAUAUCAACUCUAAUAACAGGGGUUGAGAGGUGGAAAGGAAAAUUCUUGACAUCUGAGCAACUUUUCAAAGUACAUAAUCAUAACAAAAAGCCAUAAAGCAGAAAGAAAAGGUCGAGGGAGAUCAGCAUCUUAGAUUUCCUGCCAUAACAUGAUCAAAUUUCAAUAAGACUCGAUAUCAACUCUAUAACAGGGGUUGAGAGGUGGAAAGGAGAAUUCUUGACAUCUGAGCAAANNNNNNNNNNNNNNNNNNNNUCAAUGUACUACAUAAUCUUAAUUAAAAGCCACCAAGCAGAAAGAAAAGGUUAUUCUUAGUGGAGGUCAGCAUCUUAGAAUUUCCUACCAUAAUUUGAUCAAAUUUCAAUAAGACUCAAUAUCAACUCUAUAACAGGGGUUGAGAGGUGGAAAGGAAAAUUAUUGACAUCUGAGAAAUUCUUUCAAUGUACACAAUCAUAAUAAAAGGCCACAAAGCAGAAAGAAAAGGUUCUUCUUAGUGGAGGUCAGCAUCUUAGAAUUUCCUGCCAUAAUUUGAUCAAAAGUUGCAAGCUCUAAAUUUGUGCACCUCUUUAGUCCUUCCUACGGUUCUUGUCCUCAGAUUAGCACUUAAAUCUAUAUUCUGGAUCCAUAACUUUAACUGAUGUCUCCUUUGUAAGUAAAGCAGAAUCAAGCAGCACAUGUUAUUGUCAAAAUAUGAUGAGCUAAAUUUCAAUUUCCACAGAUUUGGAAAAGGACUAACUCUGAUGAACUCUGGAAGAAAGAUACUAAUGAUAGAAUUGAAGUUGGACUAUUUGUCUAAUAUAAUUACUAGUCAACACCACAACAAUCUAUUGAUCAGGCACCAUUACCCAGUACAUGUGAGUUUUGACACCAAAAAACGACAGAUAUAUUCCUAUUCCAAGGCCCACUUACUAUAUCCAUAACAAGAAAUUCCAAGAACCAAGAAGAGGAUCGUUAAUGCCUUCAAAAGAUCAUACCAG
rnacentral:lncRNA from 1 species